CACAAAGCUACUAAGUUUGACUUUCGCAGACAAUGUAUCUGUGACUCCCGCUUGUUUUUUACAUUUACCUUCAUUCCACAGCCCUGAGUUACUGGGUGAGUCCAAGACAUCUCCUCAAUAUAAAGUAGCACACUGCGUUACUAUAUGUUGCAACCGGGAGCCAGUACAGACUUUAUUCACCUCACAGUUGCAAGUGUUCAAUGCAGUCACAAUGCCCCUCAGCAGUGCUCAUGUGCUGCCUGUUUUUAGGAAGUAUUCACGUCUAAGUGGUGUGUAUAUCUUAUAGGAACACUUAGUAUUUUUAAAACCUGAUUAAUUAAAAAAAAUUAGUUUCUAGGCAGUCCCAAAUAUAGUAUUAAAGGCCAACUGCAAAGAAGGAACACUAAGUGUUUUUUAAACCUUAUUAACAUAAAAAACAUUAGUUUUUAGGCAGUCCUACAUUAGGUAUUAAAGGCCAACUGCAAAGAACACUGAGCGAGGCUCUGUAGAUGGAUGUAAUAAAAAUCUAUAAAACAAUGUGUUUAAACCUAAGAAUUCUACUGCUUUCCAAUUCCUUCCCUCUGCUCCUUUUCCUAACCUCCUGCUUCUCCAGCCCUUCCCUCUGUCCCUUUCAUCCCUCAGGCCCUCCUCUCCCCUUAGUCCCCACCACCCUGUCACUUCUAAAUUGUGGCUCUAGCAUUGUCCCAUUACCUGCUACGUGACUGUUCUCUCCACAGUGGUCCUGCUCCUGUGAGUCAGAGUGUGUCAUUUCCUCACCUAAAACACUCCAGUGGCUCCACCUCGGUCUUGUGAAGCUUCUAGAAUGUCAGGCACGUGAGCAUAUGAGGGCAUACCUGGUUCAUCUUAGGCACUAAAUUUUUGUUGACUGAAUGAAUGAAAUAUGAAUGUAUUAAAUUGCAUCACAGAAAGUUAUAAAAUGUAAAACACUGAAAAAUUAAGAAAUAUUUUAUUUUAUGUAACUAGUGUGCAUAUCAAUUCAUUCCGAGUCUGUUGAGCCUGUGUAUGAAUUUUAUAAGAUUGCAUAACAAAUUAUCACAAACAUUGACUUUAAACAACACCC
rnacentral:lncRNA from 1 species